UUUAAUAAUUAAUAUAUCAAUACUUUGAAAUUCUUCCGUAAUGCCGCUAUUAUUCUUUCUGUUGUUGCCAUUUGUGGUGUGCUUUUGAUUGUUGACAUGAUUUCCAGAACGGCGCACAAGUUUCAGAUUAAUUGCAAAUUUUUGUUGAAGUCGGUCAAUAUGUUCUGGAAUCGCAAAUCUUCAGCCGAAAAUAGAUCAGAUAUUAUAAUUUACAGGAGACACCAAUUUGGGCUGCCCUGCUCUUGCUAGAUAUGGCUGAGUUCCUGAGUCAGAUAAAUUUUAAGCAAUCACAUCUAUGACAAACCUCGCAGCACGUUGCUUUGUUCCUUGAGAAACCUCUACCGCCAGGUUUUGCCAAUUCAGCAUGACGAGCGUGUAAAAUGGUAAAAGGAAAAAAAAAAAAAAAAGAGUUCUUUAUUCAAUUUUCUUUUGAAAUAUGAAAAAGGUGGCUGAAACUCUUCAACUCUUUCAAAAUGUAAAGACUUUUUUUAUCUGAUUAUUCUUCAUAGCUUGUGAAUAAUAGUGCUGUACUCCUCUCUCUUUAUUGCUUGAAAGACCUGAUUUGAGUGUUGUAUAGGUUAUUUUUCAGUGUUCUUUUGUGAAGGAAUCUGAAGUUCCUCUUUCUUGUUUUCAAUUUCUAGUCCUUAACAGUUCCCUCCAAAAACUGUGUUGAGAUAUUUGUAGUUUGUCAAACUUAUAUAUUCAACUGCUGCAGCAUGUUACCUGUAGAAGGGCAGUCGUUUGUCAGAAAACAACUGUUAUGCGCUUUAUUUAUAAUUAUGAAUUCAAGUUGCAUAUAAAAAAAGUUGAUUAAUUUCGUUGGGACAUAUUGUAAGGUUGCUCUUGAAGAUUCUCAACCUUGUGGAUAAGAGAUGAAGGAUGUAUCAUCUGAUGAUAAAACAUAGUUUCAUUCUAUUGGAAGAAUUACAACAGCAACAAACAGAGACUCUUCCCACUUUUUGUUUGUGGCAUUUGGAUUUAGUUGUCUUGUGUAUGAUUGGGAAAAUUCUUGUUUUGUUUGUAUUACAUGUUUCAUGGCAAAGUUAGGACUCCUCUAAUUGUGUUUGCUAUCGUGGUGAAAGAAGCAGUUUCUCUGGUGUUUUGCAGACUUUGAUUUGAGUCUUCGUGUUCUUUCUACUUCCUAGUCACUAAUGAAGUAUAGUUUCCUUUUGGCGCUGAGCAAAAGGUGGAAAAGCUUUCUGAUGUUACUAAAAAGUUAAUGUAUAGUUUCUCUGCCAACAGAGAAGUAGUGCAAUAUUUGUAUUGCUAAUGCCGCUUUCUUAAUUACUUCUUUCCCUCAGAUAUGUGAUCUCAGUGUUGGAAUUUUUCUAACAAUUCUAGAUGUUGCAGUGAUCACUUGGUAGCAAAUCUCACGAAAAUGAAGGGUGUAAUCCUCAUUUCCUCAUAUAACAAGUAUUAAAACAUACCCACCAGACGUGCUAUAUCCUUUAUACUUUAUUGGUAAGGAAAAGACAUCUGCUGGGCUUCUUGUUGAUUCUAUUAUCAUGAUUCUUUCCAGUGCACUGCCUCUAAAGAUACCAAUAGUAGAAAGGAGAGCGACAGGCCCUGAAGCAUUUAUUUAAGGAAAGCGCAAGUACCUGUUAUUACAAUAGAAUUUGCACAUAUACAGUUGUGUGCUCUGCUGAUACAUCUUGCUUAUGAUUCGUGAAAUAGGUGGACAAGGAAACAUCAUAUCAACACAUUUCUAGCAGUUUUAGGCGGGUCGUGAUGUUAUAAUAGCAUGAGCGGAUAUCCUUUGUUGGAAAUUAAAAUUUUUUGGCGAGAAAUCUGAAGAGGAGCCCAUACAAAAAGAAGUUUGAAGUUUGGUGGAAAUCACACCUAGCUUCUUCUUUGAAGGCUCUUGAUCAUUAAUCUCUUUGCAAGUAACCUGACCACAGAUAAAUUGCGGUGCCCCAGUCAGCAAGCAGAAUGUGAGCUUGUUAAAAGAAGCUUAUGUCCAAAUUUAGCUGCGGUUACAUACUGGAUACUGAACCAAAUAAAUGCAUGGUAACCGGGCCGGGCAUGAUAGAUUAAUGGGAAAAAUGGAAUUUUCUCAACUUGUUAUCCCCCAGUGGCAUCAUGUAAGCAUAUUCGAUAUGAAACUAAACAAAUUCAGGCACUUGGAUGCUCUAUUUGGCAGUAAAUGUUAAGCCUGUCCUGACUGAACAAGCAAGCCUUGUGGAUGGAAUAAUUUAAGGAUGGUAACUAUAAACAAUUGACAGAUUACUGUAACCCUGCAAUCGUACCAGAAGCUGAAUCAGUGAUGCCUGUAGUCCUAUGCUUAAGGACUAUUGGCAUGCUUUGUAGGUUUUGAUAUGCCACUUACGUUUUGGAGUACGUAAUCAAGUCUCGUAACAGGAGUAUACUUGCGGAAUAUAAUUACUAGUCUCUAUAUUGUUACAAGCGUACAAGGUAUGGGGAAAAGAUGAGAUGAAAAAUGAGGGAGAUGUGUGUCUUUGUCCGCUGGCGCUGUUCAAACUAGAAAUCCUGUUACGGGGUGUAAGCGAGGCUGGCUCAAACAAAGCCAAGUUCUGCUUUAAUCUUACCUCUCAGCAGUAGAAGCUACAUGACCAUACAUAUUUGGUGUGCGAUGCAAUUGGGUCUGUCUUGCAGAGCUUCCAGUGGAAACAGAUUCCUCCGAAGUCUUAUUGAGAUUGUUUCUCUCCUAGAACAAACCCUCAAUGUGAAGUGGUCAGGAUGAUGAAGGGCUAAAAGCCUUGAAACACUGUAUCCUUCUCUAUCACUAGUCGAGAUCUUGACCCUGAUGGUCAUGCCUUGGCUCACUUUAUUUUGAGCACAAAAUUUGAUAAUGAUGGCUUGAUGAGCAAGUGAGCCACAUGCUUUUGUGCAUAAUUUCUUCUAGUCAACUAAUUUUCACCAAGCUGGCGUUGGGGGAUGGAGCCAACAAAGGGUGGUUGAAGAUGACAAUGGCAAAGGACCCAUCAUCCAUGUAUCAUGUAUGCAGUUGUAGAUCAACAGCUGCCCCUGACCGCUCACAGCUCAGAAGCGCUGUAAUGAGGAGAUCCUGUUGAAGCGGAUAAAGGGGAAGAGUUAGGCACUUAGGCGGAAGGAAAUAGGGCGUGGACCCUACACAGGCAACGAGUCUGUCCGCCAUUUAUAUUUGUUUCUAGUUUGGAUUGUGGUAUGGCCAAACUCUACCUAACACACGUGAAUGCCCUAGCGCAUAUUUUUGUUGGUAUUAGGUCCAGUUUUGAUUAAGGCAAAGGGAAAUGGGCACCCAAAGGAAAAGCACAAUUGGGCAUGGGCUGCCUCUGCGUUGCUACUAGUUCUAACCAGUAGCCGCCUUCCUCUUUCCUUGGAUCCCAUCUCGGCCUCACGCCUCCUGUACCUCGCUACGAGUUUCUUUAUUUUAUUUUAUUUUAUAUUUAUUAUCAUCCAUAAACGAUAAUUCCAUCAUUCCAUAUCUCCCACUGGUGGAUUUUUCCUAUUGUAUACUAUAUUUUAUGGGGAACAACCAAGUGAUCCAAUAUAGAAAGUAGAUUUCUUUAUUAAAUGAAGCCACAGCCCACAAGACUUGAUUCAAUAAACAAUUAUAGAAAGCCAAUGAUAACAUAACUGCCACUGUUAUCCUUGUUUUGGAAACCCAUGCUGCUUAUUUUAUUAUAUCUUCGUGUUGGAGGAUGCCAAUUGCAUGCCACCACGAAAUCGUGUAAUUAUUAUAUUAUUAUUUUAUGUUAUCAUGGUGGUCCCUGCUAGCUGGUAAUGGUAAAGUGCUAGUCUUUCAAGGCGGUGGUCGAGUUUUUUUGUGCGUUGCUUCUAUAAUGAGAUUGGAGAUGGAUUCUGGGUUUACUGGCCGAGCUUGGGAUUCUCAUUUCCAAGCUCUUCUGCGAACUACCUCUUCUUCUUCCCAUCACAGUUACAGAUAGCAGUUGUCCUUUUGCUUCCUCUGCUCGUAUCAACAAAGG